rnacentral:lncRNA from 1 species
AAUCAUUUGGCUAGGUAAGCAAAUGGUCUAAUGUGAAUGAAGAGGAGGGUUCAAAUGUAUCAUUUCAAGGUGGUUAUCACACAAGAACAAGGAGCUUGAUCAUUAUGCAAAAUUUAUCUAAGACUAGAAGCAAUUCAUGCAUACAUAGAUCCAUUCUCAUCAUUCUAACUUUUUCCUAAGUGAUUACAAGCUCUACCCUUUUCAUCCUCAUCCUAAAACCAAAAUAGCAUCCAUUCACGUCACUCACCAAUGAACAACUUUUUUUUUCUUUUGACUCAACCAACUAGGAAUUUUUAUUCACUUUUUACAACACUUAGCUCUAACUCUUUCUCAUUUCCCUUCCCACGUUCUCAUUGAUUCUCUUUUCUUUCUUUCUUUUCUUUUUUUUUUUUGAAGGGGGAAUGUUCUUUUGUACACAAUCUAGAGCGUCAUUCUUUUCUUUUGUCUCUAUGGUUUUUCUUUUCUCAUGACACUCUUUUGUUCAUCUUUCUCAUCUUUCUCACUCC